AAAGGAAAAAAUGAUAUAUGUUUUUCAUGGGAGCUACUUGGAGUAUUGUGAAAAGUAAGCUUUUCAAAGAUAUCUGCUCAAACAUUGUGCUGCAGCAUUUCAGAAUUGAAGAUUAUAUAUAGGAAAUCAUAGUCCACAGACAAGGUUAAAGAAAGACGACACAGAGCACAUUGCAGAAGUCAUUGACCGAAGUAUCACUUAGAUGUGACACCACUGUUUCUUUUACCAAAAGGUAACUAUACUGGGUAUGGGAGAGAAGAGAAAAGUGCAAGACA